ACAAUGGCGUAACAAAGGAGGCGAAGCCGCGAGGUGGAGCAAAUCCCAAAAUAACGUCUCAGUUCGGAUUGUAGUCUGCAACUCGACUACAUGAAGCUGGAAUCGCUAGUAAUCGCGAAUCAGAAUGUCGCGGUGAAUACGUUCCCGGGUCUUGUACACACCGCCCGUCACACCAUGGGAGUCAGCAACGCCCGAAGCCGGUGACCCAACCGAAAGGAGGGAGCCGUCGAAGGUGGGGCCGAUAACUGGGGUGAAGUCGUAACAAGGUACC
rnacentral:rRNA from 1 species